rnacentral:rRNA from 1 species
UGCAUUGAUUACGUCCCUGCCCUUUGUACACACCGCCCGUCUCACCUACCGAUUGAAUGACUCGGUGAAAAAUUGGGACCGUGAGUCUGUUUGCUUUAUUGCGAGUGGAUUGAUGGGAACUUUUUUAAACCUCGCCAUUUAGAGGAAGGUGAAGUCGUAACAAGGUUUCCGUAGGUGAACCUGCGGAAGGAUCAUUA